UUACUAGCAAACUGAGACGUAUUGCUGUGUAUCACAAAUCCUUUCCUAUGAUUGAAAGGUAAGGAUAGGAGCCGUCGUCAAUCCUUUUUUUAGCUCUUUAAAACUCCUUUGUCAAUUCUCACUCCAUACAUAUUUGGUUCUGUUAUGAGGAAUCAAGUGAAGGGUGCGGUAUAAUACCCGUACCCAAUUAAUUUUAAAAUCUAAAUAUAUGGACGUGAUAAACCCAUUAGUAAAUUGGGAUUUAUUUGUGCCGUCGGAUUUAACUGAUUUCGUUGGAUUUGUCGGUUUAAACCGAUUUGGUUGGAUUUGAUUUUCGGAUUAGUUAUACUCUAACACUUGUUAGAGUAGGAUUUAGAUUUAACCCUAAUUAAUCACCUAUCAAUAGGUAACUUAGAAAGAGUGUACGGCCAAAAAAAUAUAUAAUAAAAUAUUGUGCCCGGAUUCUUUAUGCGUGGCUGCUAGUGGGAGCAAGAUCCGACGAUCGUAUGGGAAGAAGAGAGAGAACUAGUGUACCACCAUCGUCAACGCCGGAGUGGUCGCCGGCCACCUACGAUCGGGUCGAGGCGAACUCCUCCGCAUGGGGUGAUCAGGGUUAGCCACGAAAGGGGUUUGGGAGAUUCUUUGAUUGGGUUGGGAAGGAGAAGGAACAAGAUGGAAUUAUUUUGGAUAUAGCUAGACCUGGUUGAUGGGCGCAGGAGAAUAGUCUACGGAGGUUCCAGUUUCGGUUCAUUGGAACGUGGACGUCGAUUCGUUGCAAAUUUACACGUUUGGGGAAUAAUGGAACAACUAAUGAGGUUUUGCUCUUUGUUCGAUUGAAUGAGAAUAUGUAUUCUUUGCAAAUUUACCCAGCUAAGGCGCAGUAGAAUAGUCUAAU